rnacentral:rRNA from 1 species
UACGUAGGGUGCGAGCGUUAAUCGGAAUUACUGGGCGUAAAGCGUGCGCAGGCGGCUUUGCAAGACAGAGGUGAAAUCCCCGGGCUCAACCUGGGAACUGCCUUUGUGACUGCAAGGCUAGAGUACGGCAGAGGGGGAUGGAAUUCCGCGUGUAGCAGUGAAAUGCGUAGAUAUGCGGAGGAACACCGAUGGCGAAGGCAAUCCCCUGGGCCUGUACUGACGCUCAUGCACGAAAGCGUGGGGAGCAAACAGGAUUAGAU